rnacentral:rRNA from 1 species
AUUACCGCGGCUGCUGGCACGUAGUUGGCCGCACCUUCUUCUGCAGGUACCGUCAGAUUCGUCCCUGCUGAAAGCGGUUUACAACCCUAAGGCCUUCUUCCCGCACGCGGCGUUGCUGCAUCAGGCUUUCGCCCAUUGCGCAAAUAUUCCCCACUGCUGCCUCCCGUAGG